ensembl:lncRNA
GAUGGAUGGAUGGAUGGAUGGGUGGAUGUAUAUACAAACAUUGUUCAGGUAUAUUGAUGCCUUUAUCCAAAGCCCUCAACAAAACAGUGAUUGCAUCAAUUAUAAUUCUCAGAAUUUCACUGGGUAAUCUUCCUCAAGAAGAUCACAUAGCUCUAAAAAUGCUCCAGCACUUUAAAAAAGCAAAAUGACAACAAAAAACAAUAGAUUAAAAUCAUAUACCGGAGCAGGUAGAAGGUUUGAAGGAUUCAUUACGGGGAAUAUAAGACGCCUUUUAUUGGAAUGGUUAGAGUUUGUAUUCACAGGUGUGGAGAGUGAGAUACAUUUGGCUCAGAGUCAGAUUAAAAGCACAGUUCUUUUUUUUUUUUUUUGCCUGUCCCGUUUGGAUCUUUAGCCAUCAGAAUUGUUGUCUGAAGGCCAAGAAAGAUGCCAAGUGGAUUUACUUUAUCAAGUGGAUCAUCAUGGCCUUGCCUUAUUGGUCCAUUUGAUUGACCUUUAUUAUAAUUAUGUAUUUAUUUUAUUUUCGUUUUUUAAAGACGGGACAGACAUGACUGGGGGAUAGGACAGUGAGAAAGAAUGAAAGAAAGAGAGGGAGAGAAAGAAAAAUAGAGGGGAGAAGAGAUGGUGAAAAAGGGGGGAAGAAAAAAGAAAGAAAAACAAAACACCUGGAUCACCUGUACGGAGAUAAAAAACCAGAAGGGAAAACAAACAACAAAGAGCAACAUAAUAAAAACAACACCAUCACAAUAAACUAGCUAACAAUAGAUAACAGUAAAUACUUUUGUAAUUUCACCUGUUGAGAAUGAAAAAAGAAAACAAGCAGAAGAAAACGAGAGCAAUAGAAUAAACAACAUCACGAUGAUAUAUGGGAAUAUAACUGUAAAUACUAAAUAUUAAACAUUAUUGUGCAGCACAUAAGAUCGACAGCGCACAGUGUGCUUUGAGGUAGGAGCCAAAAAGGGUGUAGUUUGUGUGUGUGAGCACCCGUGUGUACAACUGUGAGCAUGAACGCGCUUGUUUUUAAAAGGUUCCUUCAUGUAAUGAUCUGCUAGAGGGUUUGGGGAGCUACAGCCCCGUCCACCAGGGCAUGAAGCAAGUAUGGAGGAG